ensembl:lncRNA
GAGGAAAACAGCUAUCAAAGCCAGCGUAAAGGCCCCAUUAGGCAUUUAAUAUUACUCGGGCUAAAUGAGAGGCAGCAGAAACCCUACGUGAAACCGUAAAAUCUGGCAACCCAGGCAGCUGUGGCCGGCCUCCCUGCCUGCGUUGGAUGUUAGCUGUGGUCCUUCUGACUGAACCCAAACAUCACCCCCAAAUCGGGUACGCCAGGUAGGUAAGCACCAUACCCCACUGCUGACAGUUGUAGCAUUUAAAUUUUGGGACCGGGGGCACACAGUAUUUUUUCUAUUCACGUUUCAAACACUGACUUCGCCAAACUUGCUUUGUUUUCCUGGGGCUAUUUUCUGGCGGUUAGCACUUGGCUGAUAGGUAGCUUCGAGCGUGCUGACGUCACCGGGUUGCCGUAGAGCUAGUAGCGAUGGGGACACCGUUGCCCUGGCGACAGCGCUCAUAAGUUAUCGGCGAUUGCUAGCUGCUGUAUGAACUUUAACGCUGCAGAAAAGGCUUCAGGUGAAGGCUUUACUUAAUAAAGUGAAUCAAACAAAUAUCGUGGGUUAAAUAGCUUAGGAUUUUGGACUGACUCCACCAGCCUUUUUUUUUUUUUUUUUUAAACAAGUAGCAGACAGGGGGGGUAGCUGUUACCCCGACGACAGCACACACAAGUCAUCCGUGCCAGCGAGCAUCUGUUUGAAACGCUCCGUAUACGGCUCGGAGUGCCGCUAACACGCUCCAAAACGUAGUCACAUAUGGCUUCUUCACUGGUGCCCGACUUUUCAUCGGUUAUGGUGGUUCUGGAGCGUUUAAAGGAGCUGGACGAAUACCUGAAAGAGGAGGAGGUACCGUUCGCACCUGAGGCCAGCCUCCACCUGAUGGAGAUAACGACUGCUGUCAGCGAGCUGGAGGCAGACAGGCGUGCUGCUCGUGAACACUUGGAAGUGGAAAGCAUAGAAAACAGCAAACUGAGACACCAGAUCAGCAACAUGCGUGAACGAAUGAGCAAGGAGAUCAUGGCUGAUGUAGCAGCGGCGCGAGCAUCAAAUGCCGAGGAGAUCCAGCAACUGUGCAAAGAUCUCAGUGCAGUCUCUCAGCUCCAAGAAGAAGCUACGAAAAUGCAGGAAUCCCUUCUCAGCCAAAACAAGUCCCUGUACCUGGAGCGGGAUCAGGCGAAGGCUA